rnacentral:rRNA from 1 species
CGGGGGAGCAAGCGUUGUUCGGAUUUACUGGGCGUAAAGGGCGCGUAGGCGGCGCAACAAGUCACUUGUGAAAUCUCCGGGCUUAACCCGGAGCGGCCAAGUGAUGCUGUCGUGCUAGAGUGCGGAAGGGGCUACUGGAAUUCUCGGUGUAGCGGUGAAAUGCGUAGAUAUCGAGAGGAACACCUGCGGCGAAGGCGGGUAGCUGGGCCGACACUGACGCUGAGGCGCGAAAGCCAGGGGAGCGAACGGGAUUAGAUACCCCGGUAGUCCUGGCCUUAAACGAUGGAUGCUUGGUGUCCGGGGUUACAUAGUCCCCGGGUGCCGGCGCUAACGCAUUAAGCAUCCCGCCUGGGGAGUACGGUCGCAAGACUG